CUAGAAACGUGGUCACGUCAGGGCAGUGACUUCCGGCGGAAGGGGAAGCCGGUUCCGGGUGCCGGCCGCCUGCGGGCGAGGAGUGGGUGUGAUAAGGACUUUCGGAAGUUUGCUGAUCUGAGAAGACCCACUUCUUGUUCGAUGGAUGAUGGCAUUUGAGCAGAUACCAAAAAAGGACUGGUACGGCAUUUUGGGGGCAGACCCAUCUGCAAGUGUGUCAGAUCUAAAACAAAAGUAUCAAAAACUCGUAUUAAUGUAUCAUCCAGAUAAACAAAGUGCAGAUGUGCCAGCAGGAACAAUGGAGGAAUGUAUACAGAAGUUCAUCGAAAUUGAUCAGGCAUGGAAAAUUCUAGGGAAUGAAGAGACAAAAAAAGAGUAUGACCUGCAGCGGCAUGAAGACGAUCUAAGAAAUAUGGGACCAGUAGAUGCUCAAGUAUAUCUUGAAGAAAUGUGUUGGAACGAAGAUGAUCACUCUUUUUCUCUGAGUUGCCGAUGUGGUGGAAAAUACAGUGUUUCCAAGGAUGAAGCAGAAGAAGUUACCCUGAUUUCUUGUGAUACAUGUUCACUAAUUAUAGAACUCCUUCAUUAUGGCUGAAAUUGUUCACUAAGUGGGAUCCUUUAACUGUGUAUUCAGACACAUUGAAGAGAGCCCAUUCAAGUAAAUGUAUAAAGCUGAUAAAAAAGGAGGAUUCUUUUUUUUUGUCAGCUCUUUUAUUUGUAGACAAAGUAUAAGACUGUCAAGCAAGGGCCACCCCAGAUUAAUAGAAAAUUAAUUUAGUUAUUUAUAUGUAUUUAUAAUUUAUAUUUAUAAAUCAGCCCAAAAGGGACUUGAAUUAUAAAUUAUAUUUUGUGAAUUCCCGUUUGAGAACUUUGUUAUUUGGUCCAUUUUUCUCCUUGGUACAAAAAUAAGAAUUUUCCUUUUCUUUAAGCAUGUCCCCUCUUGUAAUGGGUCACAGUAUCAUCAUGUUCCUUUAUAGUUAGUAAGUUUCUGAAGUAACAGGACAUUUCUAGCUGCUAAAGUCAUGGGCGUAUUGUACAAGUAUCUCAAAGUCUCAGGUCAUUAGGAGUAAAUUAGAAUCUUUGUUGAGUAUCCUAUCAGCCUAGUUCUCCCAUAAUAAGGGCUAGAUAUGGAUAUUCAUGAAGUUAUUUCAAAGUUAAUAAAGAAGGUAAAGUGGCAACUACCAAAAGGAUAGCUUUGGAGUCAAGAGUCAAAACACUUGACUCCAGUUCUGGCACUGUAUGUCCAGAUUCUUUGUGUGGCUAUGUUAAAGUGAGUAAGGCUUGAACACUCUCAUCUGCUACUUUAAAUGUAACUGAGGAAAUGGUAGCUUUUAAAAAAUUGUUUUUUUAAAGGUUUUAUUUAUUUAUUCAUGAGGGACACACAGAGAGGCAGAGACAUAGGCAGAGGGAGAAGCAGGUUUCGUGCUGGAAGCCCGAUGUGGGACUUGAUCCAGGAACCGCAGGAUCGCACCCUGAGCCUAAGGCAGACGCUCAACCACUGAGCCACCCGGGUGUCCCCCCAAAAAAUAGUUUGAAAUAUGAAUUACUUUCCUUUUUAUUGCAAAGUACUAAUUAUUAAUUCUUGUAUUUAUGAAUAAGGACCCACUGUGUUAUUGGUAUGAUCAAAUGGAUAUGUAUAAUGUUAUUAUAAUGGACUAACGAUUUUAUUUUUCUCUAUAUUUGAUACUCUAUGUACAGCAUAAGUCAGAACUCAUUAAAAAAAGGAAGAAUCCUUUAUGGGAUCACUGGAACUUUAUUACUUAAUUUCAAAUGAGUGAACCAAACAUGUGACUAAACAGCUUUUUAUUAGGUCGAACUCAUGGUAUUUACCAUUGUUUUGUACUUACAAGACUGGUUACUACUCUGACUUGUAAAUGUAGCAAAAGUACAAGGCAUAUUCAAGAAAAGAUGACUCAUAGCUAUAAAACCAAAAAUUCAAAAGUGAGGUUGUCAUCCAGGUUUUUUCCUUAAAAAUCUUUUUAUAUCACAAAAUAUAGAUAACUUAUUUUGGAUUACAUUUUUAUCCAUCUAUUUGGAACUAAUAGAGCUUGUGGUUUGUGUCGCUUAUUCUUUACAUUUAACAAUUAAAAAUGACUAAAACUAAAUAGCAAAUAGUUUAUUAGUAAGUACAUGGUUUCAGUGGCAAUAAUAAAUUCACUUGAAUAGGAGAGAAUAGUCAAAAGAAUAAAUGCUAAUCAUCAGAAAAUCUGUGGCCAUUAGGACUGUCACGUAGAAAUCCAAAAUCACUCAGAGGCCAAAUCUGUAAAAUUAAAAUGUGAUUGAAGACAAUUAAUGAAAGUUUUGUAUCCUCAUCAUAUUCCCCUUUUUUAUUCAACCCUUUUCUCUAUGCCAUAUAAUUAAACACUUUCUCCUUAUUUUCCUUAUUUUUUAGUCAAGAACAAAUUCUCUAUAUCAAAAUAAGACUUUAGAAAGUAAACUUGUAUAUGUAUGUAUUUAAACUCCAAAGUAUGGAACACUGAUGUUCUACAAGAAAUUAUGUAUGUGUGGUAUAUGAAUAUGUAGGAGUAUGUGUGUCUGUGUUUUCUUUUACUACCCUCAAAAUGAAGUAUAAACCUAAGUAUUUGAAUAUAAUAUCUGAGUAUGUGCAAAGAAUCCUGCAAAUUAUCUGACAGCCCCAGGUAUUCAUGUGUUUUUCUUCUUAUUGCUUGUGGCGAAAAGGAGGAGCCAGUGAAAAUAAUCAUCUGUCCUAACAGUCCUACAUUUAUUGUAACAAUGGAGCGGGAGGAGGACCUGGAAUUCAAAACACAUUUAAUAUUCAUCUUUACCAAGCAACUCAAUCAAGAUCUGAAUAGUAAUGUCUUCAUCAUAAAUAACAAUGAUUUUUCUAAGAGGAUACAUAGGUAAGGGAAAGAAACCUAUUUCAUAAAAUAUAUGAAAGCACCAGUGUGCUUCAGAGAUAGCUGAAAAAGGGAAACCUCUAGAGGGGGAGACCCUGCAAAGGUUUGGAUAUCUCUUCAGAAUGCUCCAAACUUGGAUGAAUUUUUGUUAUAAAUCACCUUGAUUAAUGGAACACAUUUGCUAAAGUGGUUCUGUAAUAACUACACAAUUCUUAUUGCUCAAAAACCCAGCCUAGAAAAACUGGUGGAGGCAGAAAAGCCUUCAAAAAAUCACUGGCUUUUCUUUUAGGACCAAUACUGUCCCUGAUCAGAAAUAGUUCCUUUUCUUUUUAAAAAAUAAUGAAAACAAAUAUAUUUUAAGGGAAGUACAAUUUGAUGAGAUGGGAGCAUAAAUAAUAAUAAUAAUCGAGUAGAGGAUAUUUUGGGAGAGGUAGUAGUAGCAUGGUAAAGAGUACAAAUUCUGGAUGGAGCCAGGUCACUUGUGUUUGAAUUAUAACUUUUUCUCACUAACUGUUUGAAGCUGGACAGUCUAUUUAACCUUCUGUUGUCCAGUUUUCCCAUCUGUCAAAUACUACUAUUACUACGUAUCUCAGUGGAUUGCUGUUGUGAUGAUGAUAAAUAAAUUAACCUUUGUGAAGAGUUUCAACAGUAUCUGGUACCGAUGAAGCAUAUAAGUGUUGGCCAAUAGUAUUACAAUUAUGUCAGUCACUUGUAAACAUGUAAACCCAAGUGAACGGAAUAUAUCUAGAACAAUAUGGCAGUGUCUUAAUUUAUCCACUCACUGAACAUAAAAACUAGAUGAAUAUUUUCCUUAAAAACAGAAUAUUCAAAAAAAUUUACAUCUUGUAGUCCUUUGUCUUAUCAGAUUACUUAGCAAAUAUCUAAUCCCCUGAUAUUCUUCUAAUAACUCUUAAAAAGAAAACAAGAAUUGUGUGGUGUUUAAGUACACAGAUAGUAGGUGCUAUAUCAUUUAUAUGUUUUGUUAUUCUAUCUAUUGACAAAAUUAUUUCUGGUAUCAAGCAUAUGCUUGUUACUAAAAUAACUUAAAAGUGACUAGAAUGUCUCAUGAAAUGUUGAGAGUCAUAUGAAGGUGAAACCAUUAUGUAAAAUUCUGUCAUUUUUGAAAAAUAACAGGAUAUAGUGUCCAUGAUAAAGGUCACAGAAAAAAUAGGUUACCUGAUACCACACUACAACCUUCAACAUUAUCAUCAUCAGCUAACAGUUACUAGUAUGUUUAGCACUGUGGUAAUAAACAUUAAAAACAUUUGCACUGCUGAACCAUAGUCUAUUAUGGAUGGUACAUAAAUAAUAGAUUUAAUAAUCUAUUGAUCAGACUUACAAGGCAAUCAGAGGCUAUUAUAGUUCAAAAUAAAUACACAAUGAUCGAGACAAUUUAACUCAAUUAUUUGCUUAUGUUGGGGACGAAGAUAAAGUUAGUUAAUAGGUGUAACAGCUACAUCAAUAAUUUGAGAGUGACAGAAAACUUAAAGAAAAGUAAAAAAAUAAGAUAUAAAAUUAUUAAAGUAAGACAAAUAUACACAGUAAACAAAAGCCCACCCUCCCGGGUCACGGCAGCUGUGUGAUUGGUGAGAGAAGCUAACAUUACGUCUGCUCUUCACUCCUCCAUCCUGCCACUCUUGCUCUCUUUUUCUAACUGGAUAGUCAAGUUGACUAGACCAAGGUAUAAUUUCUAUCCUAAAAAUUAGAGUAGGAUUUAAAAAAACUAAACUGUAGACUUUGAUUCUACCAUAUUUGCCACUAACAAGUCAGUGGAAAAAUUUUCUAAGCCAGGAUCCCGUUGGCAUUUAGCUGGCACGUCUCCUUUGUCUUCUCCAAUCUGACAAUUUGUAUCUUUCCUUAUUUAUCAUAAUCUUGACAUUUUUGAAGAGUAUUAGUCAGCUAUGUUGCAGGAUGACACUUAGGAUUUUUCUGAUGUUUUCUCAUGAUUAGACUGAGGUUUCAUUUACUUUUGUAGAAAUGCCACAAAAGUGAGAAUACCCUUCCUAGUGCUUCAUUUCAGGGGCUACCUUAUGUUGAUAUGUCUUUUUAUUGGUGAAACUAACUUCGAUCACUCAAUUAAGGUGGUGUCUGCCAGUUUUUCUUCUACUACUAUUUGUCCCUUUGUAAUAAAUAUCUCAGAUACUUUGAAACUGUGCAAAUAAACUUUUCUUAAACUUUGACCAAUAUUUUGACAUCCACUGGAGAAUCUUGCCUGCAACAAUUAUUAUUGAGAUAGUUAUAUAGAGUUUUAAAAGAAACUAAAAUAUAUAAAAUAUAACAGCCAAACUGUUCUUGAUACAAACAUACUUAAAUUCUACUGAAUGCAGCAUAUUAACUUAUAUUCAAGAUGUGAACUGCAGUUAUUUUCUUUUGUCAGUGUGUUCAGUUGAUGUUGAUCAGUGAAUAAUAAUUAAAAUGUUACUUACAUAA